rnacentral:rRNA from 1 species
GCCGUCGGCGGAUAGCCCAGUGCGGUGGCCAAGGCGGAAAGGCGAUGAGUCAUCCACCUGGGGAGUAUCGACCGCAAGGGUUGGAACCUCAAAGGAAUUGACGGGGCCCGCACAAGCGGAGGAACAUGUGGUUUAAUUCGAUGAUACGCGAGGAACCUUGACCCGGGCUCGAGCGGCAGGGGGAUUAUCCAGAGGAUGGAUAAGUCUUCGGACUCCUGUCGAGGUGCUGCAUGAGUUGUCGUCAGCUCGUGCUGUGGGGUGUCGGCUUAAGUGCCAUAACGAGCGCAACCCUUGCCAUUAGUUGCCAUCAGGUUAAGCUGGGGACUCUAGUGGGACUGCCACCGCAAGGUGUGAGGAAGGGGGGGAUGACGUCAAAUCGAGCACGGCCCUUACGUCCGGGGC